AGCUCCCGCACAGCCUGCAUCCUGAAAGGCUGGUCUCACUCCUACUGUGCCCCUGCAGCAGCACCAAGUAUAUUUCCAGGCAACUGGUGAGCAGGGCUGAGGACUUGCCACAGACCACAAGUCUCCCAGCUGAGAAAGUACAGCUCCUCAGCUGUCCCACAGAGCCUGCAGUGGCAAUCCACCUCCUUCAAAAUUCUGUGAAUUCUCUCAGCUUUCCUGGAAAGGCAAGAUGCUGACACCUUGAUCUUGGACCUCAAGCUUUCUGAAUUGUGAUAAAUAGAUGUUUAUAAUAAAGCCACCCAGUCUGUGGUAUCUUGUUAUGAUAGCUGGACCUGACUAAUACACAGGGCAUGUGGCAAGUUUAAGGGGAAGAUGUCUUUCUGAAACAUUUGAAUCAAUCAGAAGUUCUUUUGGAACAACUAAGGAAAGAUGUCAGCUUGCUGCCUCACAAUGCUGUUUGAUGACACUGGCUUAGAAAAUAGAAAACAGAUUUUUCUUUUCUCCAAAGAAAUAGAAAACUUUCCUCUAUACUCCAAGGGAUAUACAGGAAGAAUAGAAAUAUGAAUUUGAACUAUGACUAAGAGUCAGCAUGUACUUUCCUUUCUCUGGAAAAAGAAAAGAAAAAAGCUGGAGAAGUAAAGCUCAGAAGCACGGGUAUGGCUGAGUUAAGUAGACUACAUAAAAAAUAAACACUGUCAACAAUCUUAUAGAGAAAA